rnacentral:hammerhead_ribozyme from 1 species
AUCCAGAUGACGAGCUCCAAAUAGGGCGAAACGUAUGUCUUACAU